AGCGAACGUUUGCGGCGGGCUUAACACAUGCAAGUCGAACGAGAAUCCCUUCGGGGAGGAAAGUGGUGCACGGGUGCGUAACACGUGGAUAACCAACCCAUUGGUUUGGGACAACACCGGGAAACUGGUGCUAAUACCAGAUGUGUCGCAGCUGUCUUCAGGCGGUUGCGAGAAAGGCCCGCAAGGGUCGCCAACGGACGGGUCCGCGUCCCAUCAGCUAGUUGGUGAGGUAAUGGCUCACCAAGGCAAAGACGGGUAGCUGGUCUGAGAGGAUGAUCAGCCACACUGGAACUGAGACACGGUCCAGACUCCUACGGGAGGCAGCAGUGGGGAAUAUUGCGCAAUGGGCGAAAGCCUGACGCAGCCACGCCGCGUGAGCGAUGAAGGUCUUCGGAUCGUAAAGCUCUGUGGGGGGAGAAGAAGAAAGCCGGUGAAGAGCCGGCCCUGACGGUAUCCCCUUAGCAAGCACCGGCUAACUCCGUGCCAGCAGCCGCGGUAAAGUCG
rnacentral:rRNA from 1 species